rnacentral:rRNA from 1 species
CAAUAGCGUAUAUUAAAGUUGUUGCGGUUAGAAAGCUCGUAGUUGGACUUCUGUCGGAGCCAAUUGGUCAUCGCUAUGCGACUGUAUCUGGUUCGGUUUCGGCAUCUUCGUGGAGGGCGCGGUUGCGCUUGAAUGCGUGGCGCGGCAUCGACGACUUUUACUUUGAGGAAAUUAGAGUGUUUACGGCAGGCAAUCGCCUUGGAUAUGUUAGCAUGGAAUAAUACUGUAGGGCUUCGGUUCUGUUUUGUUGGUUUUCUGGGCUGAGGAAAUGGUUAAUAGGGAUAACCGGGGGCACUUGUAUUAACGCGUCAGAGGUGGAAUUCUUGGAUUGCGUUACGGCAAACGGCGGCGAAAGCAUUUGCCAAGAAUGUUUUCAUUGAUCAAGAACGAAAGUAUGGGGAUCGAAGACGAUUAGAUACCAU